CGGGACCUCAGGUCAGGCGGGGCUACCCGCUGAGUUUA
rnacentral:rRNA from 2 species